rnacentral:rRNA from 1 species
GACGUAGGGUGCAAGCGUUGUCCGGAUUUAUUGGGCGUAAAGAGCUCGUAGGCGGCUUGUUGCGUCGACUGUGAAAACCCGCGGCUUAACCGCGGGCUUGCAGUUGAUACGGGCAGGCUAGAGUUCGGUAGGGGAGACUGGAAUUCCUGGUGUAGCGGUGAAAUGCGCAGAUAUCAAGAGGAACACCUGAGGUGAAGACGGGUUGCUGGGCUGACACUGACGCUGAGGCGCGAAAGCUAGGGUAGCAAACGGG